rnacentral:rRNA from 1 species
UCGAGGAUCAUUCGCAAUGGGCGAAAGCCUGACGAUGCGACGCUGUGUGAACGAUGAAGGCCUUCGGGUUGUAAAGUUCUUUCGCUUGGGAACAAGAGAGAUCUGUGAAUAACAGAGCGAUUUGAGUGUACUAGGUAAAGAAGCACCGGCUAACUCCGUGCCAGCAGCUGCGGUAAUACGGAGGGUGCAAGCAUUAAUCGGAUUUAUUGGGCGUAAAGGGCGCGUAGGCGGGAUUGUAAGUCAGAUGUGAAAUUCCUGGGCUCAACCUAGGAGCUGCAUUUGAAACUGCAAAACUAGAGGAAUGGCGGAGAAAAUGGAAUUCCACGUGUAGCGGUGAAAUGCGUAGAUAUGUGGAAGAACAUCGGUGGCGAAAGCGGUUUUCUAGCUUUUUCCUGACGCUGAGGCGCGAGAGCAAGGGGAGCAAACAGGAUUAGAUACCCCGGUAGUCC